UUAUCUUCUUUUUUAUUGUCGUAUAGGAGCAAAAUUUAUAAUACUAAUUGUAUGUAAAAUUUAAUUAUUUGUAAACUUUUAAGUCUUGAUAGUUUUAAUCAGCAAAUUAAGAUAAAUAUUAAACACUAUAUGCUAUAUGCUAAUUAUUUCAUAUCCCUUAAAUUAUAAUUCAUUAUCUUAAAAUUGAUUUUUUUUAAUUACCCACUGUUGCUGAUUAUCAUGUGAAAAAAAUUGUCAUUUUAGGCCUUCUUAUUUUAGAGUGAAUUUUAUUUUAUUUAUAUAUUGGAUAAUCAUAUAACAAAAUGCAUUUACAUUGGGUAAUAUAUUUUCAUCUGAACACAUACAAUAUAUGCAUUUUGAUUUUAUGUAAUUUUUGUUUCUAAAUCCAUUAGAGGAAAUUAUUUCAGAAAAUCCUAUGAUAAAUGUUGAUUGGUAUGAUCCUUCCGGGACUAGAUUUAAGAUGCGACCAACACUUGGUUUGCGUAGGUCUCAUCCUCCUAAUUCUCAUUAUUUUCGUUCGUGGUCGGAACGAGUUAAUGUUUGGCCUGAUCGUUUUUUUGGCUCGCCAAAAAAUAAGCACAACUCCGCCUCUUCUCCACCACACUCUCCACCAACUAAAAUGGAUCACCAUACUCACUCACUUGCAUUCCAUUACAAUGGCGGUUUUAUAUCAGGUAAGAGAAGUCCGUGAUUCAAAAUCGUACGGGUCGGUUUCAUCAUCCUCGUCCUUGGGCGGACCAUUCCGAUCCUUGGCCCGGUCAUACUUCAAAAAAGCCGGCUCUUCAACCGCGACCCAAGAAGAAUAAGCGGCGGCCUCUUCCGCCAACUAAUUAAUAAAAUUAACGGAAUUAUUUAGUAAUAAAAAAUAAUUAAAAUUUGUUUUAUUUAAUAUUUAUUAAUUAAAGAAAUAUUAGGGGAUCAGUAACUUUUAUGAUUUGUAGCUAUCAAAUAGUCAUCAAUGAUAGUUUCAAUAGUGCGAGAUUGGUGUGAGAUUUCAUCUAAUGACUCACUUUUUUUUUUGCUGGUUACAUGCUGAUUAGAAUUUAACAAAAUUACUAACCCCUAUACUUUUCCUUACCGUAAAAUGAAUUACUAUGCCUAAUAGUCAUCAAUAUUCAUUAAUUAUUAUAACAAUUAAUGAAUAAGAUAAAUUUUUACUAUUUUUUUUUGUUAACAUAACAUUACCGUAAAAUGAAUCACUAUGCCCAACUUGUUGGCUACCAAUGUAAGACAUUAAUAUUUCAAAGUUUUAAUUACUAUGGAGUUCUUUAUGAUUUUAUUAGUAUUAAAUAGAAGAUUUUUAUCCUGGUAUAAUUGUUG